GUGUGCAGAUCGCCAAAAAAAUUGACGCAGCACGUGUGGGUCUUCAGUGCCCAGACAUCCCGUGUGCUCUGCGAAAGCUCUGCAACAAACACCACGGGAGGAUCCCGGCCCACUCCACCAAAGCUUUUUAUUCGAACGAGGACAAGGCAAUCAUCCGAGGACUUUUUGACGCCUGCCGCGAACAGUCCUGAAGCAUCGAUUCGAGCUCAACCUUACAUCGUG